rnacentral:rRNA from 1 species
UACGUAGGGGGGCAAGCGUUGUCCGGAUUUACUGGGCGUAAAGAGCGUGUAGGCGGCCACGCAGGUCCGUUGUGAAAACUGGAGGCUCAACUUCGAGCUGUCGGUGGAAACUGUCUGGCUAGAGUCCGGAAGAGGAGAAUGGAAUUCUGGUGUACGCGGUGAAAUGCGCAGAUAUCGGGAGGAACACCAAUGGCGAAGGCAGCUCGCUGGGACGUUACUGACGCUGAGACGCGAAAGCGUGGGUAGCGAACAGG